GUUCAGGGGCGGGAAUCGAACCCACAACCUUCCGCUUACCGGGCAGAUGCCAUGUCCACUAGGCUACCCUGGA